AUUGAACGCUGGCGGCAGGCCUAACACAUGCAAGUCGAACGAGUGGCGGACGGGUGAGUCAUGUCUGGGAAACUGCCCGAUGGAGGGGGAUAACUACUGGAAACGGUAGCUAAUACCGCAUACCAUCGGAUGUGCCCAGAUGGGAUUAGCUAGUAGGUGGGGUAAAGGCUCACCUAGGCGACGAUCCCUAGCGGGUCUGAGAGGAUGACCGGCAAAACGGGAAUUGAGACACGGCCCAGACGCCUACGGGAGGAAGCAGUGGGGAAUAUUGCACAAGGGGGGAAAGCCGGAUGCAGCCAUGCGGCGUGUAGGAAGAAGGCCUUGGGGUUGUAAAGUACGUUCAGCGGGGAGGCGUUACCCGCAGAAAAAGCACCGGCUAACUCCGUGCCAGCCGCCGCGGUAAUUC
rnacentral:rRNA from 1 species